rnacentral:rRNA from 1 species
GUGCCAGCCGCCGCGGUAAUACAGAGGUGACGAACGUUGUCCGGAAUUACUGGGCGUAAAGGGCGUGUAGGUGGUCAGAUAAGUCAGAUGUGAAAGCUCUGGGCUUAACCCGGGAAUUGCAUUUGAUACUGUUUGGCUUGAGUACGGUAGAGGAGGGUGGAAUUCCCAGUGUAGCGGUGAAAUGCGUAGAUAUUGGGAGGAACACCGGUGGCGAAGGCGGCCCUCUGGACCGAGACUGACACUGAAACGCGAAAGCUAGGGGAGCAAACGGGAUUAGAUACCCCGGUAGUCCUAGCCGUAAACUGUGAGUACUAGGUGUAGGAGGUAUUGACCCCUUCUGUGCCGCAGCUAACGCAUUAAGUACUCCGCCUGGGGACUACGGCCGCAAGGUUGAA